UGCGCUUACAAUCCGUCAGAGCCCUCGACUUGUCGUGGGGUGAUGGCGUGCCUUUUGAAGAAUGAGCCUGCGAGUCAGGGACAUGUCGCGAGGUUAACCCGUGUGGGGUAGCCGUAGCGAAAGCGAGUCUGAAUAGGGCGUAUCCCCGUUAGGGGUGUAGUGGCGUGUUCUGGACCCGAAGCGGAGUGAUCUACCCAUGGCCAGGGUGAAGCAGCAGUAAGAUGUUGUGGAGG
rnacentral:rRNA from 1 species